rnacentral:rRNA from 1 species
GACAGAGGGUGCAAACGUUGUUCGGAAUUACUGGGCGUAAAGCGAGUGUAGGCGGUCUGCUAAGUCGGGUGUGAAAGCCCCGGGCUCAACCCGGGAAGUGCACUCGAAACUGGCAGGCUAGAGUAUCGGAGAGGUUGGUGGAAUUCUCGGUGUAGAGGUGAAAUUCGUAGAUAUCGAGAGGAACACCGGUGGCGAAGGCGGCCAACUGGACGAAUACUGACGCUGAGACUCGAAAGCGUGGGGAGCAAACGGG